CCUGACUGCUAUCGGAUUGAUACUAAGCCAUGCUAGUCUUCGUAGUAAUACAAGGCAUACGGCUCAGUAACGCGUAGUCAACCUACCCUAUGGACGGGGAUAAUCUCGGGAAACUGAGCAUAAUACCCGGCAGACCACUUAUCCUGGAAUGGUUAGUGGUUAAAAUGAUUCGUCGCCAUAGGAUGGGACUGCGGCCUAUCAGCUUGUUGGUGAGGUAAUGGCCCACCAAGGCGAUUACAGGUACGGGCUCUGAGAGGAGAGGCCCGGAGAUGGGUACUGAGACAAGGACCCAGGCCCUAUGGGGCGCAGCAGGCGAGAAAACUUUGCAAUGUGCGAAAGCACGACAAGGUUAAUCCGAGUGAUUUCUGCUAAAGGAAUCUUUUGUUAGUUCUAAAAAUACUAGUGAAUAAGGGGUGGGCAAGUUCUGGUGUCAGCCGCCGCGGUAAAACCAGCACCUCAAGUGGUCAGGAGGAUUAUUGGGCCUAAAGCAUCCGUAGCCUGUUCUAUAAGUUUGCGGUUAAAUCUAUACGCUCAACGUAUAGGCUGCCGUAAAUACUGUAGAACUAGGGAGUGGGAGAGGUAGACGGUACUCGAUAGGAAGGGGCAAAAUCCUUUGAUCUAUUGAUGACCACCUGUGGCGAAGGCGGUCUACCAGAACACGUUCGACGGUGAGGGAUGAAAGCUGGGGGAGCAAACCGGAUUAGAUACCCGGGUAGUCCCAGCUGUAAACGAUGCAGACUCGAUGAUGCAAUGGCAUAGAGCUAUUGCAGUAUCGCAGGGAAGCCGUUAAGUCUGCCGCCUGGGAAGUACGUACGCAAGUAUGAAACUUAAAGGAAUUGGCGGGGGAGCACCACAAGGGGUGAAGCCUGCGGUUC
rnacentral:rRNA from 1 species